rnacentral:rRNA from 1 species
UCCGACCUCAGAUCGGACGAGAUUACCCGCUGAAUUUAAGCAUAUAACUAAGCGAAGGAAAAGAAACUAACAAGGAUUCCCA